UAAACUCGCUGGCAUUAUUCUUAGCGUGUUUGUUUGUGCUGUUCACGAAAACAGGAAAAAAUGACUUCACAAGUUUGCAAAAAGUCUGUUAUUCUGUUUUGUUCUAAGUUUUUUUGCAUCAAAAAUUUAAAAUAAGCAAGCGAGAGUAUCAACUGCGGAUCACGGAAGGCAACCCGAAAAUGUUCGCUUGUCCGCAAAAGUUCGAUGAUUCCAAGCAAGUUUUUCUAGCGAUAUAUGAAUCUAAAAUAAUAAUCAAACCUACGAACUGCGGGAGUAUGGAAACUUCCGUGAAAACCGAACUCAACAGCCCUUGCUGCCCCAAUCAGCAGAUAUCGACAAAUUAUGUCCAGAAAUGGAACAGCCGAACCCGAACCUACAGCUACGGGACGGGGUAAGUUCCGGAAAAACAAAUCGGAUAAUGAAGCCCGUGAUUCGGUGUACCCAACGUUUCUGAUCGCUGAUGAAGUUCCGGAUCGACACUUGAAUAAGCCCGUAUGUGCAUCGAAUUACAAAAAUCGAUAACUUCGUCGUACUUUUUGUUAAUUUUAAACAAAAAUGUAAUAUUGUGAGAAAUUGUGUAUUCUAAGUUUUCAAUAAUAACUCGAGUGAUAAAACUAAA
rnacentral:lncRNA from 1 species